rnacentral:misc_RNA from 1 species
AACGAGUAUAAGUAAAGAUUUUUAGUUUAUUUAAUUAACGAGUCUUGUUAAUUUUAGGUUGAAAACCGGUGUUGAGAUAUAGUUUUGAUUGGUAUUAGUUAAUAGAAUUUUUAGAUUUAUUGAAUAUACGACUUUUUGGGGUUAUAUGAUCAACUGAGUAUAGGGUGACAUAACUGAUGGUUUGCGGGGCGUGUUAUGUCCACCGGUCUGUCGUCACUCCCCUGG